rnacentral:misc_RNA from 1 species
GAAAGACUGUGUUUAUACAUCCUCGAGGCAAUUAUGUUGUCAAGAAAAAGUGUGACUGGCAGUCGCAGAUUGCGAGUAAAUCUCAUUGCCUCCCUAACAAUGUCAAUUAAUCUGUGUAUCUGCUCUGCUUGGGUACAUGAGCAAACAUACCAAAUUUUAUGGAAUAAAAGGAAAAGGCAGACAUUCUAGGGUAAAAAAGAACCCAACGGUUCAGGGCAAUGUAGCAGCUGCAUGGCCUAAGUCUUCUGUCUACGAUC